AUUGAACGCUGGCGGAAUGCUUUACACAUGCAAGUCGAACGGCAGCACGGACUUCGGUCUGGUGGCGAGUGGCGAACGGGUGAGUAAUGUAUCGGAACGUGCCCAGUCGUGGGGGAUAACGUAGUGAAAAUUACGCUAAUAACGCAUACGAUCUAAGGAUGAAAGCGGGGGAUCGCAAGACCUCGCGCGAUUGGAGCGGCAGAUAUCAGAUUAGGUAGUUGGUGGGGUAAAGGCCCACCAAGCCAACGAUCUGUAGCUGGUCUGAGAGGACGACCAGCCACACUGGAACUGAGACACGGUCCAGACUCCUACGGGAGGCAGCAGUGGGGAAUUUUGGACAAUGGGCGAAAGCCUGAUCCAGCCAUUCCGCGUGCAGGAUGAAGGCCCUCGGGUUGUAAACUGCUUUUGUACAGAACGAAAAGGUUUCUACUAAUACUAGGAGCUCAUGACGGUACUGUAAGAAUAAGCACCGGCUAACUACGUGCCAGCAGCCGCGGUAA
rnacentral:rRNA from 1 species